rnacentral:tRNA from 1 species
GUCCGUGUGGCGGAAAUGGCAUACGCACUCGGCUAAGAACCGGGUCUUUAAGGGUUCGACUCCCUUCACGGAUACCA